GUAAAAUCUUUCGGCUCCUUUAGAUACUUUAUGCCACUCCUGAAUGAAGUGUGUGAUGCAAAUACAGUGACAUAAAGGCUCUGAGUGUCCUCUUUGGUGACCCAUCAUGGGCCUCCUAGGGCCAGCUCCUCUGCACUGCGUUGGAAGCAGAAUCCCUUUCUAAAGAUAACACAGCGUUUGGGGAAUCAAUUCCCUUCCUGACAUUGUGGCCAGCCCUAAGAGUAUAUGACAACAUGCCUGUGCUCCCUG
rnacentral:lncRNA from 1 species